GAUCAUGGCUCAGGAUGAACGCUGGCGGCGUGCUUAACACAUGCAAGUCGAGCGAAGCGCUUAAGUCUGAUUCUUCGGAUGAAGACUUUUGUGACUGAGCGGGCGGACGGGUGAGUAACGCGUGGGUAACCUGCCUCAUACAGGGGGAUAACAGUUAGAAAUGACUGCUAAUACCGCAUAAGACCACGGUACCGCAUGGUACAGCGGUAAAAACUCCGGUGGUAUGAGAUGGACCCGCGU
rnacentral:rRNA from 1 species